CUGUGACUUGCUCAUCAAAGGUCCUAAGCAUUAAAGGAACUCCAGUGUUUACACAGAACUCAGUCUCAGUAUUGGCCGAUGCAUGCGUGUGAUGCUGACAGAGGAGCCGGUGUUCAGAUCUGUCUGGACUCUCAUUCUGACGGCACCCAUUCAUUGUUG